rnacentral:lncRNA from 1 species
GUCACAAUCAGCUAGGCUCUGAAGACAAAUCCGAGUUCAGGCUGUGGAUUGGCUGAUCCCUCAUGAAUAUGUAGAUUACUCUCACCCUUCACCUCGCUCUGGAAAAACCAGCCACCAUGUUGUAAGGAUGCUCAAGUAGCACUAUGGAGAUUCACACGUGGCAAAGAGCUGAGGCCUCCCACCAACAGCCACAUGAGGGAGCCAGAGUAGGAGUGGCUCCUCCAGCCCCAGUCGAACCUUCAGAUGUGACAGACUUGGCUGCUGACAGUUUGCAAUCUCAUGAGACCCUGAGCCAGAACCACCCAGCUAAAUCAGUCCUGGACUCCUGAUCAACAGAAAUGACCAAAGAGAGGCGUUUUGAACAUUAAGACGCUUUGCUGCUUCUCACCUGAAACACGUAACAGGAACACCAACCUCUUCAGCCGCGGGAAAUCUUCUUUGACACAAAACUCAAACCGAGUCAACCCAAAGUUCCAAGUUCUUUGCUUUCUCUUCUGUGUGUGUGUUGGUUUGUCCCAAAAGUCAGUUUGCAAGUUGAAACUUCAUGAAAUUACUCGUAGCAGAAAUAAAGUACAUUGUACAAAUCA